rnacentral:siRNA from 1 species
AGAAGUUGGUGUUUAAAAUGGCC